rnacentral:rRNA from 1 species
UUCGGUCUCUUGAGCGAGGUGGAACGACCUGAUCCAUUCCGAACUCAGAAGUCAAACACCUCAGCGCUUACGAUAGUAUACCGGCGACGGUAUGCGAAAAUAGGUCGAGGCCGGGG